AGAGAGUUAACGCUCCUGUUGAACCGGAUGUGAUUCCUUCUCCGUCUCGGUGUUGUCGUUGCACGGCCAAUGGCGGAUGGAGCCUGAGCAUUUGUUCUGGAAAACGUACGUUUUGCACAAAUAUACUCGAGUAUCGAUCGGCAGGUCAAAGCUUUCAGAUCGCACGUGUGUCUUUGGCCCUGACCAGAUCUGCGCCCGUCAGCAUGGAUGUGAAUCUGACCAUCUCUCUGAUGCGGGGCCAGAUGGGCGCUGUUAUUGAGAAAGCCGUUAACGUCGCGGUGGAGACCGUGUUAGGAGAGAUGAUCCGGGUGGUCGGGCUCAAGUUCGAGGAGAUAAAACGUGACAUGACCGCUAAAGAGAAGGAGAACGAGAACAUCAGGAGGAUGUUGGAGGCGUCCCGCUGUCAGAUGAAAACCAUGCGCAAGUACAUCAGCGUCCUGUCUGCUAAAGACCCUAACCACAGACUGUAUCAGGGAGAGGGAGACAUGGCUACAACAUCCACAGGGGUGCACUGCAGAAGAAGACCGACGAGCACUGUGCCGGUGUGUGCCAAAACCCCAGACCCCUGUCCCAGACCUAGAGUCUCUGAGCCCGCCCCCGUGGCUGGACCCUCAUGGGUGAGACAGCAGAUGCACAUUUCCAAAGAAACAGUAAGAAGUGAGAAUCACAAUGCUGAUGUCCAUAUUGAAGAUAUCCAUGGAUCAUCAGUUCAUAAAGUUAAGAUCUCAAGCCCUCGUCUGGUGGACAGUCAGGCGCUUCUGUCUGAGAUUAGUGAUCCAGUAUGGGGUCAAAACCCUCUGGCCUCUGCAGAGACUGGGCACACAGACAUGCCGGACAGCAGCGUCCUCUCUGCACCCAUGAUGGCAGAUGAAAGUGUGUCAUCCCAAACUACAAGCACAGUGGCAUUUGGAGCACCUUCACUUAAAAUCAAACGGGAGGAAGCGGAAGUUGAAAUAGUCUGUGUGAAGGAUGAACACGCAGAAGCUGGCAGCAUCCCUAGAUUAGAAUAUUCUGACCCAGAACUUCACCAGGAAGUGGGAGAACCAGACCUCGGGGUCUCACUAGAUCUACCCGCUUCAUUUCAAGCUCUUCAGAGUCCAGGCACUGCAGCUGACAUUGCAAUCCCAGAAUUCAUGAGUGUGGACCCAACUACCUACACAGUAAUGGCAAAAACAGCUGCUGAAAAACAGAGAGAGUACAGGGCGAGAAGGGAUGCUGACCCGGCACGCAGGGAAAAGUACCUCAGGAAUGAGCGAGAGAGGUGGAGAAGAGAUGUUGAGACAGGGAAAAAGAAGAGAAUUGGUGACCUGUGUGAGAAGGCACAGAGAUGGAGGCGCAAGCAGUGGAGAGAUUCCAAAGAACGACAGAAGAGGAGGUUUUUCAAAAUAAUUGCUUCCUCUCCAGACAAUCCUGAACCCAGUCUGAUGGUGUUGCUUCAACCCUGAAGAGGAUGACAGACGACUGAUAAGUCAGGGUCAGGUCAUCCCAGGUGGAUGGAAACUCAUCAGGGCCCUUGUCGAGGCCAGAAUAGCCUUAAAAGUGGGUUGGUUGACAAAGCACUUGAGAAGCACUUGAGUCCAACAACAACGAGGCACCGCUAGAUGACUUGUGACCAAGUCAAUGAGCUGAACAAUAUUUGGCUGAGUGCAACAUUUUGUUUCUGAUGGACCUUAACCUUGUGGCAUCUUGAAAUAUUUCAAUUCACAGAUUUGUGGGCCAUGCAAAAUGAAUUUUACUCUUUGUAUUAAACUAUUAGUUUGUACUAUGACUUGUUAAAUGGACGAAUGGAUGGAUGAUUGAAUCAAUUAAUGGUAUACUUCACCAACAGUAGCCACUUGAACCCUGUUAUCAUUUUCAACCCUGUUGAAUUGCAUUCAACCCUGUUACUUUUUUCCCCAUCACUGUUUUUGUAAUAUUCUGUGUAUUUAGUGUACUGUAUCUGAGGUAAUCAGUAAAUUACAAUAAUUUAUACCUCGCUUUACUAAAUAUUUAUGUAUAAUUCUGAAUCACAUGUUUUUAAAAAAAAACAAAACUAAUAAAUAAUACUUUAUUUAUACCUGAGGUGGGAAAAUAUUCCUUAGAUCAGCAAAAACUUGUUCAUGAAAUGAGCAUUCAAACAAUCAUAAAAAAAAUAAAAGUUACAUCAUUAACUUUAUAUUUUUUGCAACAUGGCCUAGAUCACCGAACACUUUAACACAGUGAGAUUGAGGAUCCUUUCUAGUUAAUGUUCAUUUGAUUUUUGACAUAAAAUACACAUUAAAAAAAUUACUGUACUGAAGAAACAAACAACAUCCCCCCCCCCACCACAUGGCUGUUCAUGAUUUUUUACACAUCGCAAGUCAUUCCAUGAUGGGGAUCACAAGAGAAAUGCAUCAACAUGGACAGCUAUGUCAGAUGUGAGUCCAGGGAGUUUUGAAAAUAAUCAAUGUACAGCUGCAGAGAGGGCUAUUCUUGAGUCACAGGGAGAAAUGGACUGGAAAAUCAAUCACCUGACUGCACUGGUGCA